rnacentral:lncRNA from 10 species
GUUUGUGCAGUUUUUCUGAUUUUGUAUCUACCGGCAAAAUAUAUCUUAAGCCAUUUUUAGGAAACAGGAGGUUUAGUCACGUGCUCAACAAAAGCACAACAAAUGGGGAGCAUUUAAUGGUGUAAGGGCUGUGAGGUGUAGCUGCUGAAACUGUAGCUAGGAGCUGCCUUGCUGCCUUCUUGCAGGCAGAUUGGCCAGAUGAGCCAGGCUAAAAUACAAUUAAUAUCUACCAUUGUGGUUUAAUAUGAAAUAUGGAUACCUGGUCUUUGUCUCAGUUCUUGUCAUAGAGUUCCCCAAACCUUUAGAACUUCCUGAGUGGUAGGAAUAUCUCAUUAGUGAUAAUGAGCCCCUUUGAUUCGAUAACUCCUGAGUUUAUGCUAAUGAGGUUACUUAAUGUGGGGCCCUAGAUAUUCUUAGGAUGGGGCUAGUUCCCGGAAAGACCAGGUCAUUUGAGGAUUAGAGGGUUGGAACUUUUAGCUCUACCCACUGAUCUCUGGGUGGGGAAGGUGCUGGAGAUCAAGCUGCCUAAAAACUCUUGAACAACAAGAUUUGAGGAGCUUCCAGUAAAUGCGUCCACAAGCUGGGAGGGCACUGCACCCCAGUUUCACUGGGACAGAAGCUCUUGCACUUGGAAUCUUUCCAGACCUAGCCCUUCAUGCUGCUUCAUCUGGCUGUUCAUCU